UACGGAGGGUGCAAGCAUUGAUCGGAAUUACUGGGCGUAAAGGGCGCGUAGGCGGCAAGACAAGUCAGAUGUGAAAUUCCGGGACUCAACCCCGGAGCUGCAUUUGAAACUGUCUCGCUAGAGUGCAGUUAGGGUAAACGGAAUUCCACGUGUAGCGGUGAAAUGCGUAGAUAUGUGGAAGAACACCGGUGGUGAAGACGGUUUACUGGGCUGAAACUGACGCUGAGGCGCGAAAGCAUGGGGAGCAAACAGG
rnacentral:rRNA from 1 species